rnacentral:rRNA from 1 species
UGCAAGUCGAGCGGACAGAUGGGAGCUUGCUCCCUGAUGUUAGCGGCGGACGGGUGAGUAACACGUGGGUAACCUGCCUGUAAGACUGGGAUAACUCCGGGAAACCGGGGCUAAUACCGGAUGCUUGAUUGAACCGCAUGGUUCAAUUAUAAAAGGUGGCUUUUAGCUACCACUUACAGAUGGACCCGCGGCGCAUUAGCUAGUUGGUGAGGUAACGGCUCACCAAGGCAACGAUGCGUAGCCGACCUGAGAGGGUGAUCGGCCACACUGGGACUGAGACACGGCCCAGACUCCUACGGGAGGCAGCAGUAGGGAAUCUUCCGCAAUGGACGAAAGUCUGACGGAGCAACGCCGCGUGAGUGAUGAAGGUUUUCGGAUCGUAAAACUCUGUUGUUAGGGAAGAACAAGUACCGUUCGAAUAGGGCGGUACCUUGACGGUACCUAACCAGAAAGCCACGGCUAACUACGUGCCAGCAGCCGCGGUAAUACGUAGGUGGCAAGCGUUGUCCGGAAUUAUUGGGCGUAAAGCGCGCGCAGGCGGUUUCUUAAGUCUGAUGUGAAAGCCCCCGGCUCAACCGGGGAGGGUCAUUGGAAACUGGGGAACUUGAGUGCAGAAGAGGAGAGUGGAAUUCCACGUGUAGCGGUGAAAUGCGUAGAGAUGUGGAGGAACACCAGUGGCGAAGGCGACUCUCUGGUCUGUAACUGACGCUGAGGCGCG